UCCCUACAAAAUUUCAAUUUGAAGAUGGCAACCUUUGUAAAUCAGAGGAUGAUGAAGACGACAGUGUUUCUGUUUAUUUCGAUGUCAUGAAUGAGGAACCCGAACUGAACAAGUGGAAGAUGAAGCUGGAGAAGAUAUUUGAUUAAUGUUAUAACUUUUGGGAAUCAAUCCUCUAUUUCUGAUAUAAUCUUCGUAUAAGACAUGUAUUCAUUCAAUGAAAGAUGCGCCCAGUCCUUGGAAUUCUGAUGAACUCCAGAGACCUUCAUACUACACUCGACAGUGCUAAGUGGCAGCUUUGGGACUAUUUUUGGUACUCCCAUUUUAAUCUCAUGUAGCUGAUUUCACAAAGCUAUGCUCCGAUGUUUUCCCUUUAAUUGAUGCGUGUGAUUCAGAAAAAUGGUGUCAAACAUGCUGAUUAUCAAUUUAACAAUGCAAUGAGUCUUUUUGCUAAGAUUAAAGAGCAACAACCGGAAUUCAAAAAUCCACGCUCACUUGGAGAGGCCAUUAUAAAAGUAUCCAUCCAUCAGAUAUGGUAGAGUCGUGCUCUGUUGCCGGUCUUGGAUUUGUGAAUAUUGUCUUAUCAAAUAAGUGGAUAGAAAAGGUGGUUCAAAAAAGGUUAACUUGCCUCCUUCUUAAUCUUAGUGUGGAAGAUAUCACCAAUCACACAUUUGAGAGUUCCUCGUUCAAGAAAUUGUGGCGCAAGAUUACGAAGAAAUUUUGAAUCUGUAGACUGCCUUGAGCCAAGCAACAUAUGAAAAGACCGUGCUUCCAUAACUAGGUGUGUUAGUUAUAUGAUUUUAGGAUUCAUUAUUCUGCAUUUAUUCAAUAACAGAUUUAACUUUGGGUACCACAAGUGUCACCCAUGCUGCCUUUCUAUCCUGUGCAUAAUGAAUAACAGUGUGCCGCGAAUUGAUUACAGUAUCUCUUCAUUAAACCGUGCUGGCUUUGUAUCAUGUGCACUCAUGGUAGCAAUUCAUACGUGGACACAAAUGUCGUCAUUUAUGGCGCUCAAGAUCUAGAGCCAAACAAACAAUAAACAGAAAAGUCAUUAUUAGUGACUUUACACUUCUCUGAACAUUCUCAUUGGCAGCUUAAGAUUAGAGACUAUUAUAUAAGACAAAGUAGCAACAAUUGAACCGCACAUCUCUCCUAUGUUUUAUCUAACUCAUUUGGAUGUAACAAAGUACAAUUUAUAUUAUCUCAGCAAAUACUUUCAUCUAAAAAAAAUCAUAAUGGACCCAAACAAGAAGCGUAGAGUUCAUGGACAAAACUUACCAUUGUCCUAUGUUACUAAUGGUAAUCAUACCUUUUCUACAUUUGGUGCUAUUACUAAUUCGAUUUUGUGUUUGAUUUGAGACAUACUAUGUUCAUAUCUCUUUACAGUUGCUUCAUCAUCCGACUUAUCACAAUUUACCAACAGAAAUGUGACAAGAAAGCUUACCCCUAUUUCACCUGGUAGAUAUGUUCUAAAGCGUCCUAGAAAUUUGCAUUGCGGUGACCUAAACAAAGCAACCGUAACCGGGUCAAAUGAGAAUCAAAGCUUUUAUCCAGAGUGCGGCGAGAAUGGUGAAGAUUGUGACGUUCCUGACAAUGAUUUGGGUUUUGUAGUCGCGAGGCAUCCUUGGCCUGGGAGCAUAACGAUGAAUCUGCAAGUUGCAACACAGAUUGUGACGAAUUUCUGUAUUGUAUUCUAAAAAUGUAUCUUUAAGCGGAAACGACGGUGUAGUUAGUAACGAAGGUACAUCUACAAAUUAUGGCAUAUCAGAUCAUCAAUCUUCUGGCACUGGCUCAUAGUCUCUUCCCACAACAUCAGUUACUAUAGACAGACAAACUUUAGAGCCAAGUAAGGUGAAAGGCAUCAAAGGGGAAAAAGAAACGAAAGGAAAGGAAAUUCUUCAGAAGGCGGGAUGCUUCUGGGUCAACAUCUGAUCUUUAUAACACUUACAAGGGACCUGAGGAAAAUAAAGAAGCUGUUGCAACUUCAGAGAGCACUGCAAAUGUUUCUAUUUCUGAAAAUUUGAAGCAGCUACUGAUGGUUGGUUGCUUCACACAUUCUCUCUCUCAAACUCAGUUUUUGUUAAUGGUGUUGAAAUUACAAAGUAUAUCGAGACAACAUCAUAGUCUUUUCUUUUUGUUCUUGCCAUGAAGCAUAAAGAAGUUCAGGUGACUCUUGCGAAAAUAUGUAGUGAAAAAGUAGAGAUGUAUGCAGUGUCUUUUGCAAAAUCUCUUUUGUAAAAAAGUUAAUAGAUCACUGCUCAAUCCAAUGAAGAGAAUUUUGAAUCAAUUAUGAAA